rnacentral:rRNA from 1 species
CUAUACCUGCAGUCGAGCGGACAGAUGGGAGCUUGCUCCCUGAUGUUAGCGGCGGACGGGUGAGUAACACGUGGGUAACCUGCCUGUAAGACUGGGAUAACUCCGGGAAACCGGGGCUAAUACCGGAUGGUUGUUUGAACCGCAUGGCUUCAAACAUAAAAGGUGGCUUCGGCUACCACUUACAGAUGGACCCGCGGCGCAUUAGCUAGUUGGUGAGGUAACGGCUCACCAAGGCAACGAUGCGUAGCCGACCUGAGAGGGUGAUCGGCCACACUGGGACUGAGACACGGCCCAGACUCCUACGGGAGGCAGCAGUAGGGAAUCUUCCGCAAUGGACGAAAGUCUGACGGAGCAACGCCGCGUGAGUGAUGAAGGUUUUCGGAUCGUAAAGCUCUGUUGUUAGGGAAGAACAAGUACCGUUCGAAUAGGGCGGUACCUUGACGGUACCUAACCAGAAAGCCACGGCUAACUACGUGCCAGCAGCCGCGGUAAUACGUAGGUGGCAAGCGUUGUCCGGAAUUAUUGGGCGUAAAGGGCUCGCAGGCGGUUUCUUAAGUCUGAUGUGAAAGCCCCCCGGCUCACACCGGGGAGGGUCAUUGGAAACUGGGGGAACUUGAGUGCAGAAAAAGGAGAGUGGGAAUUCCCCCGUGUAGCCGGUGAUAAUGCGUUACAAGAUGUGGGACGGACCCCUCUUGUGGGCGGAAGGCGGACUCUCCUUGGCCUCGCAACUU